UCGAACUGCGGAAGCACGUGUAGUACUUAUACAAUGAACUUUUCUACCUCAUACGCAGUACGUAGAGAUACCAUAUCUUCAUCAGUGCUGAAUUCAUAACCUGAUCAUUUGGACACCCAAUUGUGUUUCCGAAAAUGUACGUUAAGUCAACCGACCGCUGGAAAAUGGAGACGCUGCCCUCAAUAACGAGGCAGCCACUUUCCUGAACCCACAACACCACCCAAGAAGCAGAUCUACAGCCAGUGUAACGAACUACCCAUUUUGGUGAUUGCUCUGUAUAUGAGAGGCGGUUCGUUACGGAAAUCGUUGUACCGAAAACAUUUGUGUUGGUUCUAGGAAUUGAAGAUAGAAGAAGAAAAUAGGCUUAAAUUUCUAGAGUUGUGUUUCAGCCGCCGCGCCGCUACCGUAAGAAAAAGCUACCGUUUGCAACCGUUCCCGUCAAGAUUUUUCAAUUUUUUUCGUUGUGUGCGAAUGCUUUUGUCAUUUUGAAAACGAGGGCGAAUUGGUUUUAGUUUCCUAAAAAAACAAGCUUAAAACCAGUCGAGGCCGUGCACCUUGCUAUCGCCGACCCCGCCGGUUGAUCACAAAAUCAAUUAGCAAUAGGUGUCAAGUGGAUUACCGAAUUUUGGAAUUUCAUAUCGCCUAUUGAGGUGAGUAUAAUUAGCGGUAGCUGAUUAAAUGAGAUGCAGUAAACAGCAUCCGACAAAUAAGUCGCGAGGGGUCUCAAAAGAAGCGCUCUUAAUUAAUUUAAAUAAAACCAAUUAAUUUUUAAGUCAUCCGCAGGCCGCACAAUUAAUUAUGGAGGUUUUAAUUUUUGGGUGUAGAUACCUUAACCCUCGCCUUAACCCAUUAUGCUGUGUCGACUGUAAAAACGGUCGAUCACUCCAUGAAAUGGCCGAAUUUUAGAAAUGGUAAAGCCGUUGUUUAGAGGGGAUCUUUUGCAUCUUCGCAAGUUACGUUUCGUAAGUACCGUAAUUAUGAGCUUUUCUGUUGCUUUUUUUUGCACAGCAAUUUCUACCGCUCCAUUUUAUAGCAAGGUAAGCUUUUUGCUACUUCCUGUAUUUGCUUUCUCGUAGACACCGUGAAUUAAUUUCUGUUUUGUUGCUUACAUUUCCGCUAGGAAGUGUUGUAAUUUGGCAACCGCCGCCAUUUUGCUGAACCCGUGCAAUUCCUGGAACCGCCGUUUACUCUGAUUGAGUGUGCCGAGCUUACCGUCGUAGACCGCUACUACCCCGACCUUGACCAGGGGCAUUCCUUGGUGGCGCCCGAGUGCAGUUGCCUGCCUCCGUUCCGCCGACUACUACCGUUUCGCGGCGUUGACUUUUUGAUUUUCUUUACAAAGAAGAACUGAAGCCACCGUUUGGGCGCGAACUUGGUUGGAAAGUUCGUCGCAAAGGAUUUUGAAGAAAUUCUGAAGAGAUUUUGACCUUGAAAAAAUAAGUGGCGACUACACAAUGUCAAUUUGUCGACUGUUCGCUAAUUAGUUUUGCGGCUGUUAAAUACUUACUUGUUUGUUUUAAAAACUUAUAUUUCGUUAAGUUGAUACCAAGUUAGCGAGGCACUAGAAAAAAAUAAUCAUAUCGCAAAAGUAAGUAGUAAAUUUGUCGGUAGAUAUGGAAGUAAACAAAUUUGCCACUUUUUUAAUAAUGAAUGUCGCGCUAGAGUGGUCUCAAAUGAGUCACAAGCGAGGCACUACCGAAGAGGAUAAUAAUAAGUAAAUAACUAAUGCCCCCGACAAUAAAGAAUUAGCUAAUGAAAAUUUUUAUUAACACCUUACGGCAUUGAAAAAUCUGCCAUGAAAACUCUAUCCGGGGCGCACAAUGGAUUA